CAAAGUUAAACAAAUGAAACAUCAAACAAUACCACAUAUCCUUGCAUCAUUAAACAAAUAUUCCACACCAUAAAUGAAUGUAACACAUCUUAAAAUAAUAUUGUACAACAUUGCUCUCUUUCUAUUAUCAUGUGAGACACAGAGACAAGACAACAAUCCCCUCUAGAAGUCCCUCUGACCUGGGCAGUGGUGGUGCAAGCCUGUAAUCUCAACACUCAGGAGGGAGGCAGAAGCAGGUGCAUCUCUGGUCUACAGAGUUGAGUUCCAGGACAUCCAGGGAUACACAAUCAAACCAUAUCUUGAAAAACCUGGAAAUAAAAGCCACUCUGUUGAUACCAUAAGUGAUCUAGGACUUUCAGCCUCUAGAAAUGUGAGAAAAUACAUUUCGGUUGUCAGAAAGGAAGGAAGGAAGGAAGGAAGGAAGGAAGGAAGGAAGGAAGGAAGAAGGAAGGAAGGAAAAGAAGAAAGAAAAUGGGUAUGGUAGCCUUAUUUUUAUUAGCCAAAACAUGGUGACAACCCACAUGUCCCUCAAUGAAUUACUAUCUAAAUAAACUUUGGCCUAUCCAUAGCGCAUGGGGUGCUAUAGAACAAUGGAACAACUAUUGACAUAUGAGAGACCCUGGAUGAAUCUCCAGGAGAAAGAACCACUCCAGAAGGUUUCAUAGGGUAUGGUUUUAUUUAUGUAAUAACCUAGAAGUGACAAAAUUAUAGAACUAGAGAGCUGGAGAAGGGGGUAAGGAAGGAGAGAAAACAGCUGUGCUGUAGUCAUAAGAGUAACAUGAUGGAUAUUCACUGUGAUGGGUGGUUCCACAUUCUGCUUGUGGUAUCUCAUGGUAGUUUUGUAUGAUGGUACCACAGUUGCUGAGGACACUGAGUAAAGGGUACUGGAUAGCCUAUUGGGCUGUUCGUUACAACUACAUAUGACACUACAAUAAUCACCUGCUUAUAACUGAAGACAGUAAGGAGAAUGCUUACAUUUGUUUCCUAUCUAAGACAAAAGUGAUAACUUAAAAUGAAAGUAACAUACCACAUCUGUGUGUAUAACACAAAUAGCAUGCAUAUAAAAUUAACUUCCCAAACAGAGGAAAACAAGCGAGAAAUGUGACAGUGUUUUGUGUCUUUCAGAUCUAAUGCCUCACUUAGCUGAGGUGAGUAGAAUUCUCUUGAUAGCUUCCAUAUUCUGUCUUUUGCAAUACAUUGUUUUUGUUGAAGUUUGUGGAGAUAAGAAACCACCUUCACAUGAAGAUGUAGCUUGGAAAAUAGAAGAAUGCUGAUUAGCCUUUUUAGGUACUCACAGAUAUAUACACACACACACACAUAUGUAUAUAUAAAUGUUAAAAGUGACAGCUUUGUUGAAGGGACACUUCUCUUCCAAUAUGAGUCACAAACUGCCAUGUGAAACUUCUAGUGAAACUUCUAUGUAUAUAAAAAUACUAUAUAAAAAUCCCUUUGUCUAUUGACUUUCAGUCUUGUAGAACCCCUGAAGCAGUGUGGGUUCCUGGGCUCUUCUUUUAGAACCAUUGCUCUAGAGUUCUCAAUUGAAGACCUUCAGGUGCUGGGUCAAUGCACUGAUGUGUUAAUAGGUUGCCAAAACCCUUUCAAAACACCCCUGAGCCUGGGUAAAGAAAAUGAUUGGCCCCCUUAGGAGAAGUACUAACAAGUGUUGGCUCUCUGUUACCUCCUGUGAGGUCCACACCAGCCUGUGUGCUGUGAUACAAAAGGGUGUCUUCAAAGAGGUCUAUCUUACCAGCAUACAGGCCCACUAGGUGACGGGUCCAGUGCUGUGAAAGAAACUUUAUUUUCUCCCAUCAGCUGGAGAUGUUGAAUGGUAGAAAUGAUUGUGCAGGAAAGCAGAAUGGGAACUGGGUGCCAGAAAUCCCCCACAGAGCAAUGUCUGGCCCCUUCAGCUCCCCACACUCAGCUUUUCCCAGAAUGGGGCACAAUGGCUCCCUGCAAAGCCAAACCAAUGAACUAGGGCUCUCUUUCCCUUUCAGAGUGAAUAGUAUCCCAGGAGAGCUCACUGCCACAAGUUAUCAUCAUAGGCGAUAAAUGAGCCAGGGGGAAACAAGACCAGACACCAGUCCAAGCAGGGAGCCUAGGGCAGGUUUCGCAAUCCAUUUGCUUUGCUGUAGUUAAUGGUCAGCAGUGCAAAUCAGGAAGACACUGCCUCUAAGAUGGUGGGGCCCCUUUGUUAUUUCUUCCUGCUGUUUUUGAGACCAUGCUUGCCUGUAUAGCUCCAGCUGUUUAAAACUCAUGAUCCCCCUACCUUAGUCACCUGAGUAGUGGGAUUACCCCCCCCAUACACACACCCCAUGUUCUGGUGGUAAGGGAAGCAGGGCAGGUUAUAUAUUGUUGUGAAACAUUCUUGGUAAAUCUGAGCUAUGAUUUGUGCAAAACUCCUACAGAGAUCACAGUAGGUUUUCAUUUAUAAUUAUAGCCAAUAGGUGUGACUUCAUUUUCUUGAGUUUGGCUUGAGGGAGGUUAGGUACAGGUGUUUACCUGUGAGCCCCUUGGAGGUCGUCACUAUGGUGUCUCCACAGCUGCUUGUUGCAUAACAUUCAGCUAGUGAGCAUUGCUUUGCAGUUAGAUAAGAACUCGACAUUCCAUUCUAGAAUUCUAUGGAACAUACCUGGGAUGCCAUAAGGGGAACAUUCAGCCAUGUACAAUACCACAUUUUCUGGGUCUCCUACAUUAUUCUUAGUUUCGUUUGUCAAAACUAAGGCUUCUGAAGUGAAACAGUUCUCUAACACCUCCCUUUCCUUGGGGUCUGAAUUCAGGCCUGUAUUAGCUUCUUUUCUCUUUGCGAUGGAAUCCCUGACACAAGUAUCUACGGGUUAAUUUUGGUUUACAGUUGGAGUGGAUCCAGUUUGCCAUGGUGGGGAAGGCAUAGCAGCUGGGUCACAUUGUCUCCUGAGUUGGGAAGGAAAACAGGCAAAUGUUGGUGUUCAGCUUGCUCUCCCCUUUCUGUUCAGUCUGGGACUCCAACCAGGGGAUAAUGCUGUCCACAUUUAGGAUAGGCCAUCUCUGUUGGUAAAUUUUUCUGGAAACACACUUAUAGAGCUAUUUGGUGGUGGGUCUCCUAGGUGACUCUAGCCCAUUAGGAUGGUAAUAAAGAUUGAGCACUUUAAAGCCCAAGGUGCUGAGGUGAGCCCCAAAGUAAAAAUGAUCUGAAAAGCCAGUCCUAAAAUCCAGAAAUUGUCCUCCGGGUAUUGUGUCAGGCCAGAGGCCAAACGUUCCAGUCCCUUGAGACAUCUUAGAAAUUGCCACAUGAACUGUGGUUCUAUCGACAGAAAACUAUGGGCAUGUGAUUGUUGUCCUACCCAUUUUUCUCCAUUCUCAUAUGCUUGGGGAGUGCAAACCUGCUUUAAAAAGCUCUUAGUUAGCUGGGUGGUGGUGGUGCACACCUUUAAUCCCAGCACUCAGGAGGCAGACACAGGUGAAUCUCUUUGAGUUCAAGACCAGUUUGGUCUACAGAGCAAGUUCCAGGACAGGCUCCAAAGCUACAAAGAGAAAGCCUGUCUCAAAAAACAAAACAAAACACCCCAAAAAAACCACCAACAAAGAAAGCUCUUAGUUAAAUUACAUACAUCUCAAUUCACAGUGCCAGAAACAAUAAAGACUCCUGUAUAACAAAACAUUUCCAAAACCCAACUGGUGGUCUCCUUAACAGCAGCAAUUAUACAGUGCUUGGGUUUGCUAUAAUGAGGUUUGAUUUGUGUUUGGGAAUCCCUGAGCAAUAUAUAAAUGGAGGAUUUUACUGCUCCCAUGGUUUAUGACUGUCACCAAGAGGGAUAUAAAUCUCAGCAAGUAGACUCCAGCCCAGGUUAAUCUCAUUCGUUCCAUUUUUUCCCCACUCAGAAUUAUAACUACUAUAAAGUAUACACAAUGCUAGACUACAAAAAAUAUCUACUUACCUGUGGCUCUGUAGAAAAUAAUGCUUUAAGGCACACUUCUGCAUGCCCUAUUAAAUGUCAGGCACUGCUUUCUAUGGCUUCCCAUAUAUCACAUCACUGAGUCUACUCCAAACCCCAUACUGUGCUAUUGAUUAGUCACUGCCAAGAGUUUACAAUCUUUCAAAGAAGACAUAUACUUGAAAAAAUAACUAUAGCCUAGUACAGUGGUGCACAUCUACAAUUUUGGUACUUGGGAGAUGGAGACUAGGGGUUCAAGAGUUACAGAUCAGCCUGGGCUAAAUAGUGAAAUCCUGUCCUUAAAAAGCAAUGUUCAGGUCAGGGAGAUUGGCUAGGAGGUAAAUGGCAUUUGUUGUCAUGUCUGAUGACCUGAAUUUGAUUCCCAGAACCCAUAUUGUAAAAGUAGAAAACUCGCAUCUACAAGCUGCCCUCUGAUAGCCACACACACACACCGUGGCACGUCACACACACACACACACACACACACACACACACACACACACACACACACACUAAAAAAACAGAACAGGGUGGUAAAGUCAUGGUAUAAUAGAUCCAAGAGAACUAUGAGAACACAACCUAUAUGAUUUGACUUCCUAUUACUUUCUGGACUCCUGACUUCCCAGGAUUAAGGUCGUGUUAAGAAACAUUUGAACCAAAUUGUUAUUCCUUUUAUUUCUAACCACUUAAAUUUGCAUGGUUUGAAACAUUCUAGAGAAUUCUAACAGAUAAUAGAUUGUUCAUAUAAACAACUAAGGUCAGCAUAGUUCUAAAUAGUAGAACAUUACAUUAGGUUUUAAGAUAUAUAUUUUCUUCUGAAAAUUGGGGGCUGUCUGGCUUCUGUCAUGUCUGUUGUUUCAAUAUGUGUGGAGCCUGUGACACUGGCUGGCCAUAAUGUGGCCCCAGGUGACAGGCUAGACACUUCAGCCGAAGCUUGUCUGUGGCUCACAGUCUGAAUUCAGGACCCCACUGUGCUUUUCUGAUUUGCAGAGAACACUUGAAGCAAUGUUGAAAAUGGGAAAAUGCCACAUUAAAACACGUAGAAUUGUUAGGUAUAGUGGUGUGUGCCCUUAAUUUCAGCACUUGGGAGACAGAGGCCGGAUCUCUCUGAGUUUGAAGCCAUCCUGAUCCACAAAGUAAGUUCUAGCCAACAAGGGCUAGUGAGAUCAGGUGAAAAGCAAAAGUGAGACCAACAAAUAACAAAUACUACAAAACAAACAAAAACCAUGGUAGAUUCUUGUGAAAACUGGAACUUCUGGCUUCUCUUAGGAAAAUGGAGUAUCUGGUAAUUCUCUGCCAGUGUUAUGGCUUUUACCAAGAGCUGUUAAUCUGUAGAACAGUUAGUUACCUCUUUAGGGUGUUCUGACAUGAUGGUGAAUGGAUCAGUGGCUGGUAAUCAAGGAAGAGACAUGAGAAAUAGAGUGGAGAGUUUCAGAGGAGAGUGUAUGUGAGCAAGUGUGUGUGUGAGUGUGUGUGUGUGUGUGUGUGUGUGUGUGUGUGUGUGUGUGUAACUGGUUCUGUGAGGCAGGAGUGUAAAUUCUGAGUCAAGAGAAGCAAAGAUUUUCUUGGAGGGGUCAAAAUGGGUCAGACUUUGUCAGACUUUGAGCUGAAGGGCGAGGAUUAUGAGCUCAUUAUAUAGGUGGGAAGCACGCGCUCCGGUUUUAAGCAGGGGAGUCACGUGGCCGAAUUUCUAUUCCAGCCCUAUCAUUCUGGUAGCUGGUAGAGGAAGCCAGCACAUCCAGCCUGCAGGCUGGGUGUCUAGCUAAAGAUGGGUUACGAUUAUCUGAGGGGGUGACAGUGCCCGUGGAAAGAAAUAUACAACACCCACAGUUCUAAUCCCUGUUGGUAGUAGGGCCACUGAUGGUGGGAGAUCACAGAGGAAAGUGGAGGAGAAGCGAGACAGUGCUUGCUGUCAUGUCUGUUGACUUCGGGUGUCUGGGUGGACAGCCAAGUACAGACGGCCCGUAAGCAAUGAGAUGGAGGAAUCAGACACCAGCUCUCAGAGGAAAUGAUUUGUUCAGAGGCAAAGCUUUGGCUGUGACAGGCGUGCCAGUGACCAUCAAACCCAUGAAGAUGGUUAGUCACCUAAGGAGAAUACCAGUUAGGAGGGAGCAGAAAGCCAAGGACAGAACCCGGGUCAUCACAGCUACUCUGCAAUGGCUCUCAGGCUACCACCAAGCUGAAGCUCUCUUUCUCACUGCUUCUUUCUGGGUGCUUUCUUCCUUUGCAACUUCGUCAUCUUUCACCCUGAGGCUUUCUAUUACUAUAAACUGCACCACACAUAAAAGAGGGCUACACGGUGCAUACGUACCAUUUGAAAUAAGAAUAAGGUCAACACAUUGCAGCCAGCAUAUAGAAUGUCCUGAUUAUACCCCUCAGUCCUAUCCUGGCGGCUUCUCUCCCCCCUCCUUCCACAGUUGCUUUGUGUCUGCCUUUUCUAUACCUUUGCAUUAACACUAUGCAGCUGUGUUCCCUUCUGUGCUCUCUUGUUGCUGAUGUCUUUCAGUAGUAUGCCUAUGAGGUUCGUUUGGUUGUUCAUACAGCACAGCUCACUUGUAACUGCUCUUUAGUCCUCUGGGUGCCACAGUGCUCAGUCAGUUCUCAUGUUGACAGAUACUUGGCAUGUCUAGGCUCUGAUCAAGCGGCCAGUGUCUUCAGGAGCGCUCUGUCCAUGUAGUAGGUGAGCAUUAGCACUUGCCAGCGAAAUGGUUGAAGUGCUGGUGUCCCAAAACUCAUAAUCCUCCUAAAGUCAUAUUUAUGUCACUUAAAAACACAACAGGAAAAGGUGCUUAUCUCAAGACCCUAGAGCACUAAGUUUGGUCCCCAGAACCCAUAUAAAAGUGUGUGGGAGACAACUGGCUCCACAAAAUUGCUAACACACGGGCCAUGGUGCUGUUGACCCCCUACUAAUAAAUAAAUAAAGUUUAAUCUAUUAAAAAUCUAUGUUCACCAAAUAAGCGUUAAACAGGAAAAUGUCAUCCAUUGUUCUAAUACUCUACAGUAAAAUAUCAUCCGGCACCCCCCUUUUGUGUUUUUGUUUUGUUAUCCCACAGUAUUUCCCCCUUUAGUUAAUUUUCCAUGUUCCCUUUCACAGAUUUAUCCUAUUGGCCAAAAUGCUCUUCUUUGUGUUUUUUAGGAUGUUCUUUUUCUGCUCCUACCCAUUUUCCAAUGGCUAAUCUCCUUCAACAUUCUGCUACAUGGCUGAGAGACAGCAGCCCAAAUCCCAUGCCAAGAAAUUCCCCGUAGAUGUGUGUGGGUCAGAGUGAAAAAGUCUGGCAUCAGAUGGGUGGGAGGGCAUGGCACUGGAGUCCUCUGGAAAAUCCCUUGAAUUUCUCUGCAGUCUAGAUUUUUUUUUUUCUUUUUAAUAGUGUCAACUGUGUGAUUGGCCUUUGGGGACUGGCGGAUACCGAGUCUGUUGACCUCUCUGUCUGUUUCCUGAGGGGAGGCAGAUUGCACCUGGACAUACUCAGUGUUUCCCUGGAGUUAUUCAUGGAAGCCAAAGAAUAAUUUUUAAAUAGAAACCCGGCACAGGAAGGCAUCCGUGACCAGGCCUUCGGUCUGCUUGCCACUCCCUGCUGAAACCAGGUGCUGUCACUGGCAGAGCUUCCAAGAGCGGGCCAGAGCUUCCAAAACCUGGCCAAAAGAAAACCCUCCAAAAAGUGAGGACUUAGGGAUGGAAUAGACCUGCUGAGUGCCUGUGAGGCCAGAGAUGUUUGCAUUUGGGCCUGGUCCCUCUGGGCUAAAUGUUGUUUUUCUCUGUGGCCUCUACAAUUUUAGUUUCUGAGGGUCUCUGGAGGUUGAUGAAUGGAAAGGUGCUCUGGGCAGUAACUCCUUCAGUUUCGUUGGCAGGCUCCUCUUGGCCCCAAUCCAAAAGGAAAGCAUUUAAAAAGCCGCUGCCUGGGUGGCACCCAGUGCUUCUUAAGGGCUGAAGCCCGCAAGUGGCCUGGGCAUCUGGCUCUUCAUAGCUUCCCAGAUGACUCUAACCAUGAGGCCAAAGCCCAGAAGCCACCCAAGCUGACCAGCUCAGCUAUCAAGAAAGCCUAUGCUGUUUCCUGCUGUGCUACCAUUGGCUGAAGUCCACCACGGACCAGGCUGGCCACUGAGCUCUGGACACACUGGUCCACAUUGGUCAAUCUUGGACUAGUGAUAAGGCAACACAGGCUCAGAGAGGUGAAGGGACUAAUUCAGGUCUAGACAGCCAAGUUCAGGUUUGAAUCCUGAGGCUUUGACUCCGGUGACCACUGUGUGCACAUCUGCACUCAGAUGCCACAUGAUUAGAAACUUGACAGCAAUUCAGAUUUUUUAAGACUGAAGUAACAAACAGACAGCAAGUCCACCUCACCCCAAUCCACUAGGUGCGUUGCAUUCAACCUUCUCUUGUCCUUCAUUUCCAUUGGUUGUGGGGAUGGAACUGUGGCCAGGAAUGGUGAGACUUAGACUGGAGGGAAGAGGCUUGGAGAAAGAAGGAGGGCUUUGGGAUCUGCUUGCUUCCCUUCUUGGGUUCCUGCUGAUCCCAGGGGAGCCUUUGGAACAAGAGCAGCUUCGCAGCUCUGAAUUACCUUACAAUAGAGUGCAUGUAAUUACAAAAGCACAAAAUAAACAAAAAGCCAACAAGUUAAAUCGCUAAGUGUUUCUUCUUUUCUUACCUUCACUUUAACAAGAAGUUAAGGCUGCAUCUGCUGUCAGAGUCAAACAUUAGUAAGAUGUGUUUAAGGAGAAUAAAAGGUCAAACCACAGCUGGGAGAAAUGUUUGCAAAAGACAACGUGAUAAAGGACUAGUGUCCAAAGUAUACGAAGAACUCGAAAAACUCAACAGUAAGAAAACAAACAACCCAAUUAAAAAACGGAACAAGGACUUGAACAGACACCUCACCAAGAAAGACAGACAUACGAUUGGCAAGUAAGCAAAUGGAGGCAGGCUCCACAGUAAUGUGUCAUCAUGGAAACAAAAAUUAAAGCUGCAAGAUACCACCGCUUGCCUAUCACAACAGCAAAACUCCAGAACACUGACAGCACCACACAUCCGCAAGGAUGUGGAGCAGCAGAGUCGACAUUCAUUGCGGUAGGAAUGUGAAAAUGGGUUUGCUGUUACUGAUCUCUUUGAGUCAGAGCCUCAUGCAGCCCAGGCUGGCCUCUAGCUUGCUUUGUAGCUGAGGCUGUCCUUUAACUGAUCCUCUUGCCUCCACCCCCAGCCCCCACCCAAGUACUGUGAUUACAGGCAUGCACCACCAUGCCCAGCUAAACACCAUUAUUUCAAUAAACAUGUACAGGCCCCAGCAAGCAAGCAGAAGGGUCCACAGGAUAAGCAGGAAUGUGAGAUGGUAGGACUGCUUCAGAAGACAGUUUGACAAAUGCUUAAAAAGAUAAAAAUUAAACAUACUCUUAUCCUGUGACCUGGAAAUCACACACUUUGGUUUUUACCCAAAGUAACUGAAAACUCAAGUCUAUGCAGAGAUCUGCAUGUAAUGCUCAUAGGGCUUCAUUCUCAAUUGUCAAAAUGUGGCAAUAGCCACGCUAUAUACUUUGAUAGGUGGAUGGUGGAAGAAACAUUGGUACAUCCAGAUUAUAGAAGGCUAUCCAGUGUUACAAAGAUAUGAGGCUGAGGUUUUAUGACAGGAAAAAGACACAAGGAACCUUUCAAGCACACCCAGGGAAAGAAGCUAUCUUCACAUGCUACAGUCUCCCAUGACGUCAGUGAGCUAAGGGUCUACAGAUGGCAAAAGCACGGGCGUGUCAGUGAACCAGUGGUUACUACAGCUGGAGAGGAAAGAGGGACACAGGGGCAGAUCACAGAGAGUGCUGAGACAGAGAAGCCACCAUGCAUGAUAGAGGUGACAAUGGAGGACACAUUAUACAUUUGUCCAAACUUCAACACCAAAAGUGAGCUUUAAACUAUGGGCUCUGAGCAGACACAGUGUGUCAGUCUAGGUCCCUCGAGUGUAAUAAACACAGUGUUCCAGACAGGGUGUUGAUAGGGAAGGUGUGUGCCUGUGGGAGCAGGAGAGAUGUGGAGAAUGCAUCUCCUCUUCAUUUUGCUGUGAACCUAAAACUAAAGCAAUGGAUUUUUUAAAAAAAAUUAAGCAGUGUAGUGGAAUCUCUAUUCUUAACUGUCUUUUCAUUUUUUGGUGUGUGUGUCAGGGAGAGGCAGGGUGGGAGGGACGGGACAGGGCACUGGGUAUUAGGACCACAGUCCCUGUUUGUCUCUCUGCUUCCAGCCACCAGGAGCGAGCAGCUUCCUCUGCCCUGUGCCCCCACUAUAUUUACUGCCUCACUACAGACCCAAGUGCAGUCCGGUAAGUGAGCAGAGACUGUGAGCCAAAAUAAACUUGUGUCCUUGAUUGCCUCGGGUACUUUGUUACAGUGGCAGAAAGCUGACUAACGCAACUGCUUACAAUAAAGCACAGGAACUUGUCCUCACUCUCUGCCAGUGUCACUGUCCUUUCUCAGUCCCAGGAUCCUGACCUGCAGCCACCCCGAAGAGCCACACCUCUCAAGUACUGGACCAACUCCUAGGAGUGGAUUGGGAUGAGGAAUCAGAGACUACAAUCAGCAGGGAGUUCUGGUGUUCCUAGAUGCCUUGACCUAGAACAAAUUUCUUCACUUCUUUAAAUCUGUGUUUCCUCUUCUGUGUAAUGAGGACAAUAAUCGUAUUGUUUCCUGUAUGGAGGACUAUUGCACAUUCAAUGGGAAAUGAAUGUCAAGCCCUGCCACAGUUAGCUUUUGAUAACUAUGAUUAUGGUUUCAGGUUGGGUUCUAGUCUUUGCAAAAUCUUGCCCACUUCUGAUUUGUCCUAAUCCAAAGUUGAAGCCUCCCAGCGGUCCAGUGAGAACCCAGGAUCUUCACACAGCUCUCCAACAUCAAGACCCAAUGAGGCUGUCAGUGACUCUGCUCCUGCCCCCAACUGCCACUUACUACUAAGCCUCCCUACCUUCAAGGUUUAUACUGCUUAAAAUGUCACAAACAUCUGCAGGUGUCUAUGUCUACAUGCGGGUAUGUGAGCAUGCAGCCAGAGACUUUGGGUCCCCUGGAGCUGGAGUUACAGUUGUGAGCCACCUGAUGUCGAUGUCAAGAACUAAACUCAGGUCCUCUGGAAGAGCAGCACAAACUCUUAACCGCUGAGUCAUCCCUUCAGGCUCUAGUUAUUUUUUAUUUUUUAUUUAAUUUAAUUAAAAAUAUUUUGGGUGUGUAUGUAUGCAUGUGCUUGUGUGUGUGAGCACCUGCUUGCUUCAGGUUUUAUAAAGGUUUUAUAAAGAUCAGAGGUCAACUUUCAGGGGUCAGUUCUCAUAACCCACCUUGUUGGAGGCAGAAACUCUUCUGUUUGUGAACUGUACUGACUACUUCAGGCUAACUGGCCAUUGAGCUUUCAGAGGGGGUGGUUCCCCUGUCUCAGCCCCCCACCUCACCAUAGGAGUGCCGGGUCACACAUGCGUGCUACUGAAUCCGGCUGGUACAUGUGGGUUCUAAGGAUGCAAAACUCUUACCCACGAGCCACCUUCCUAGCCGCCAAAUUUUCAACAAUGAUUUCCCACACAUUUACUGGCUGAUGUCUCACACUUCUCUGUCAGUAAAAACCUUUCUUCUCCUGUUUGCUGCAUUGUUAAUUCAUCCACUUCUGGAGUAUGAACUCACAGAUUUUUUUUUUAAAUUGUGAAACAAAUGUUUAUUGGAAUUUUUCAAAUUAGUUGUACAAUUAACUCAUGGUAAGUUACCGGGCAGAUUUUAUAUUAUUUCUUUAAGACUACCGUUUCUCAGUGACUUCAAACUUUAAGUUUUCAAAUUUGAAGGUAGGAGAAGCUCUGCUCAGCUCUUGCUACUACUCUGGGGCAGUAGCAGCAGGUUCCCUAAUGUAUGGCUUUGAUACGGACUCUCUUACCCCAUCAGUGAUGAGUUUCUCUACAGGAACAAUUUCCUUAUUAAAUACUACUGCCAUCACACAAAUGUUCCUCAACAAGUGCUCAGAGACAGCCCAGCAAAGGACAGUGGAGAGCCCUCAGAGCCUCAGAAGACCAGUGUCCUGUGGUGCUUGCACUGAGUCCUGAUCUGCCACAGGUGCCACCACAAUUCUAGACAUGUUUUUUCAAUGGCUUAGAAUUCACUUCUUCCCUCCCCAUGUUGGUGCUUAAGUUGCUCCAGGACUGGCUGGUAGAAGCCCCCUCCUCUGUUCUUGUACUUGCCCCCUAUCAUGUUUAAAGUUCUCACUCAGUGUAUGACAAAACAACAUUUAGCCAAAGAAAGGAAAAAAAGAGAAAGCCAUGGGAGAGGUAGAGAGAGACAAAGAGGGGCUAUGUGAGGAGAUUGACAGCACAGGGGCAGACUAGGGGCCUUCUGUGAGAAGCGGCCCGUCCACCAUGACUUAAAGGCCAGAGUGCUGCAUAUGAGAGGCAUUGGUGGCUCCUGCACUCUGACACCAUUCUUGACAGUUAUAAAUGAUGCAGGCACAACCCAAGAGGGACUGGGGAGUGGAGAGGGGAAUGAUCCUCAGUUUUUGGCAUCCAUUCAAGCAUCUAGACACAACUUUAUUUGAAAUGAUUCCAUAUUUUUCAAUUGUAUAUACAUGUCUGUAUAUAGUAUACACAUAAAAAUAUAUGCAUAUAAUAUAUAUUAUACAAGUAUAUCACACACACAUAUAUUUGGUCUAAUGUAUAUUUUCAUUCUUCGUAUGCCCUCCACCCCCAGCUCUGCUCGACUUUUUACUGUGUUGACCUUGUUUUGGCUAGCCUCUUCUCCCAAGGAAGCAAGAGUCCCUCCUGAGCAAUUCUAUAUUAACCAACAAAAAGAAGCCUCUUUGCCAUGGCUGGGACAAAAGUCCUUCAGUGUCUGUGACUAGCUCAGAGCCUUUCUACACCUGGUUGGGUAGCACUCUCCUGAGCCAGGCCUGGGCUAUGAACUCUCCUGUAGAACAGGAAGUGUGGGUGAAGCCUGCCAAAACACACAGGCUGGAAGCACAGAGAUGGCCAGCUCACCCAAGAACUCUGGAGUGCACUUACCACAAUGAGAAAGGAAAAUUUGGAAACCUGACUGAAAAAAUCUCAUGCAUUGUGUGUGGAACACCGGGCAUGAUGACUGUGAGAUUGGCUGAUAAACCAAGGUGUAGCCAUUUUGUCAGGACAGCCCUUCCUCCCUCUGCACAAGACCCCUUAUAAGAAAGAAGCCCCUGAAGCACCCUUGGAGAUUGAAGCCCCUGUCCAUCUGUCCUUGCUGCUGGCCUGGGGACAGAUGACAGAACUGCCAGAGAGAGGAUGAAAAUAGGUCCAGCCCUUCUUCCUAAGGAAGCUUUCCAUCAAGACGGGCUCCUGUUUCAUCAUUUUCUCCUCUGCCUGGCAGGUCCCACAGGGACGUGUCUGUCACAGUGCUGUGUUACGUCAUGUCAGAUGGCAAUCGAAGGAGCUGUUAACUUAAGCUGACAGAGAGCUGUGGCAAUCUGCUUAUCUGGCUGCCACCCUCACUGAGUAAAGGGCCAUUAUCAGAAUUAUUCACACAGUGUUACAGCAGCUGCAAGUCUACAUUACAUCACCCUCACUUUAGUCACUCAGCACAAAUGGGACCUCAAAGGAGACUGCCCCCCCUCCAUGAGAGGCCACCCUUCCCCUACACACCCAACAAGAAUGUGACAUCACAUUAGGUCAACCUCCAGUGUGCCUUUCUGUGCCCAGGAUCUACCUUCUGUGUUCCUUCCACAGGUGUGAGCAGUCACACAUGAGACCCCUGUUGAGAUGCCUUCCAAUUAGACCUGUUCUUGGAAUGGUCCUUCCAAUGCUGGUGUUCAGUGGUCCAAAGCUAUUCCACUGACCUGUAAACUUCAGACUGGUCUUCCACAAGUGCUGUGUGUUUCACACAAGGAUUGCAAAGGAGAAAACACAAUGUUCUUAGGUCGAGGCUCUUUCAAGAGUCCAUAGACCCUCCCCAGCUUGCUCACAUGAAGCCAACCAUGAUCUCCACCCUGGACACACCCCUCCUACGCCUCCUCCUCCAACAAGCCUCCACCUGCAAGGCAAACACACUCAAAGUUCACCCGACACACGCACAUUCCCAUGCAAACCCAACAAAAUUGAUGGCAGAAACUGUGGGAAAGAGGCAUGAAGAGAGAAUGUGGUUAACAAGACAUCCUUCUAUGCUGGAUCUGUAGAGCACUGAGGAAGAAGAGAAGAAAAUGAAGGUGAAAUGGGUGUGCAGAGAGGGCAAGAAGACAGCUCCAUGGCCUACAGCAGCAGCAUGGGUUCCACCUGCUACUACCUGGGGCAUGCACCACUACACCUGGCUUCUGAUGCUUCUCAGUCUGAGCCUCACUCAGGUGAAGGGGGCUCUGGCUCCAUUGUUUCUCCACCUUCCACCUCUGAUGAGAUGACUGUGUUGUCACAUUCUUCCUGGGAGCUGAUGUGGAACAGGCUGAAGUAAAACAUGCUCCGCAAACCCACUCAGCAAGCUCACCUGGUUUCCUUCCGACUGGCUGCCUGUGUGAGACGUCACCUCCUCCACUGACAGGACUUCCUCCAUUGACAGGAAGGCCCUUUCCCCACCAGGAAGUAGAAAACAUGUAAAAAGCAUUGGAGGAGAAACUGAACAUCAAAACAGGCUGUCUUAGACUGGUAACUGUGCAAUGGAGUGCUGUUGUAGAGAGAUUUAACAGUGGUUACUGGAUGAUUGUAAUGAAAGAAACUCAAGGUUACUGCUUUUGAAGUGAGUGUUGCUGGGUUUUUAAAAAAUGCCUUUGGAGUUUGUAGAGCUUUACAGGAAGGAGCCGUGGUGAAGAAGCAGGGGCUCUCUGUGUGAUACACUCUGCAGCCCAGUGAAGAUUUGCAAGUCAAACCUCAUUUGCAUCUAAUUUUCAGAACAGAAGUCACAACAGAUUACUUCAAGGUGAAAAAUUCUGAAGACUCUUGGGAAUUUCUUCAAUUAGACCAGGACAAAGAAAACAAAGCUAGGAAAUAAAAUGGGACUUAAAACUUUGCUGUGUGAAUGUGCGGGGGUUGACACGUCUAUAGCAAUUCUAGAGAAGGACCGUCAUGCAUUGCCCUAGUGCGCCCCUUUGGGGCUGGGCUAGUUUGAUUCAAGAUGCUAAUGGCAUUAUUUUUAAAGCUAAACCUGACAAUGUAAAGUUCUAGUUUUAUAAAAUCUGCUAACCUAUUGUAAGAUGUUAAAAAUAUAAAUUAAUACAGUUUUUAUGUUUUCAGAAGUUAAGCUUAAGCAAGCAACUAAAAUGUGUACAUGUAGCUACUGUUUAAAGAAUAUAA